CGACCUUGCUUUGAAUGACCCGGAUUGGAACGCCAAAGUCGUUCUCAUGAGGCUUGUGACAUUUUUGACUCAAUUAAAGAACCGUAUUAAUCUACAGAAGGUCACUGUCCUCAGUUUCUUUCCCAGAGAACGAACCAGACACAUAACACCGCAAGAGUAUAGGCAUAACACGUCAAUUGCAAACCAGUUUCUGCGGGAUGCAUGUCCCCAGUAUCAGAUUUCAUUUUGGAAAUUAAGAGGUUUUACAGACAGCCAAAAUCAAAUUUUGAGUGAUGGCGUACACCUCAAUAGACUGGGCUUUCAUAAACUAAUCAGACAAUUACGAGGCAUUUUACUGUCACAACAGUAACAUUCUAAAUACUAUUUGUACACAUCAUACUCUAUGCAGUGCUUGUGGCUGUGCCAUUGCUGGUCAUGUUACCUUGAUAUUCUUAAGACGCCAAAACAGAAAUGGCCACCAGUCCUAAACAGCGAAGGAAGGGAGACUCAUCCCCAGCAGUUCCAGUGACUUCGGGUUCAGCAACUACAAACCAGUCUAUCGAGGAUUUAGUAAGAGCUUGCAUGAGCUCAAUAAUCCCCACCAUAGAGAGCACUUGUAGGCAAGUCAUUACAGAAAAAAUGUCUACCAUGCAGACACCAGCAGCUUCAAACACACCACCCUCAGCUCCACCCUCUCAGGCACCCCAACCAAUGGCACCUACGCUAGCGACACCAAUGCUGCUGCAAGAAAUAACAACUGAAGGUACAUUAUCCCCUGAUUUACAGGGCACAACAACCCCACCUAAAUCUGACCCUCCCCCAUCAGCUACAUUGUUAACACUUGCGGGUUGACGAUAAGAUUCGGGCAAAGAUCCAUGCUGGGGAAUAUGUUAAGUUUGCAUCCCUUUUGCCCUCUGACUUAAACAUGCCCGAACCAAACAACUACAAAUCAAUCGAUAAAGACGGGCAAUUGGUUUUCAUUAAGUCUAAUGAUAAGGAUCCAAUUAAGUCUAUUGCAAAGUGGACCGAAGCGUUCCAAAUCUUCGUUGCCAUUUUCGCGGAGAAGGCCCCAGCUGAAAUAAGCAACCUAAUGCUUUAUGCGCAAACUGUGCAGAAAAUUGCUGAUUCCUGCGGGGAUCAGGCAGCCCUUCUUUAUGACGAGAAGUUUCGGCGUUGGAGGCAGAGAGACCCCAUAGCUUGCCCUUGGCAAAAUAAAAACGUCGAACUGUAUCAAGAAGCAGUUGUUUCAGGCCUGGACUAUAAGCUAAAAAACAAGAAACAGCCCUUUCGGACACCAACGAAACAUAAAUAUUGCUUC